GCCCGUGCGGUCAAUAACCAUUAGCCCAUCAUAAAGAAAGAACACUCAAAUAUUAAGAAAUUUACGAAACAUGUCACUGACUAAUAUAAACCAUUUCUCCCAAAAUCAAAGCGAUCCCAAAAUCUAAACCGUCUAAACUAAAUUAACAUUUAGGGCUCUGGUGAAGCUAGGCGACGAAGCAAGGGCACGAGCGCCACCUCAGAGGUGAAGCAAGCGCUCAAACCCGGCGGCGAAGCAAGCUCGUGACUCCGGCGGUGAAGCAAGCGCACGAUCCAGGAGACGAACCAAGUGCGCGACCCUGAGGUGAAGCAAGGGCGUGACCCAGUGGCGAAGCAAGGGUGCGACCCGGCUGAGAAGCAAGGACUCCGGCGGCAAAGCAAGAGCACGAUCCCGGCGGCGAACCAAGUGAGCGACCCUGAACUGUGCUGACAAUACAGGAGCUAAGAACCUGUACAUCAUCCAAGUCAAGGGAAUCAAGGGUCG
rnacentral:lncRNA from 1 species